GCAUCCGGCGCAUGCGCGGCGCGCCCCACUCCCGGGACCAAGGGGAGCGGCGCGCCCCGCAGCACGCUGGGAGUGGUAGUCCGUGCCGCGCUGCAUGCUGGGGGCUGUCGUUCUGCGCAGGGGCGCGCUGGGAGUUGUAGGCGAGGCCCUCAGGGGUGCAGCUUCCCCCCCAGGGGGGUGCGGGCGCCCCUGGGUGUCGAGGACCCCGGCCUCAGCGCGGCCUGGGCGAUGAGGGCCUCCGACACCGUUGCGUCCACGUGAAACACGAGGGGCCACGGCAAAGCCCAUCGUCGCCCCCCAAAAACGCAGGUGCCGCAAUUCCCACCGGCUUUUUUUUUUUUUUUUUUUGGCCGUGUCAUUACGCGCGGGCGAAGACCCGGAGACGUGAAAAAUGGUGACGCUUAACGACAGAAUUCAGCCUUCCUCCAGGCUCGGACCGGCUGCGGCCACGCGGUUCCCGCCGCUUUCUCGGACACCGCGACGGGUCCGCGGCUCCUCGGUCGUGGAUGACGGGGGAUCCCGGACUCAGCGUCUCGCCUCCCGUGAGCAGCGCCUCUUCCAGAGUCACUGAUAACCGUCCGCACGUAUCGUUCAAGGACCGCUUCCUUUUCCCUUUGAGGCCGCCUGCGGUAGCCAGCCGAUGGUCGCUCAGGUCGCCGGCUCCCGCUUCACUCGACGCGUCGCCCGUUCCUCGCGUUGGAUGCCGGCAGAGCCGCCGCCAGAGGCCGAAAGGAAGUGUCUUGCUUUGUGCCUUUCAUGGGGGGUACCGCUUUGAGCAGCGGGGCCGGCGUGACGGAAAAGCGAACCCGCGUCAGGAUGUUCAGAGCGUAAAAUACGACUCAACGCGGGUUGCAGUCUUGGUGCGGAUGGCUCUGCAAAGCUCUCCCGCCACGGAGCUGCCUCCUUGCCCGAUGAAGCGCCUGGCGCGCGGACGUCAGGGUGUCCCUGUCGAUUUCGAGGGAGAUGAGAUUCACCUCGGGGAUCGCUUAAAGACAUUUUUCCUGCCGGUAAUGUUUGAAGUUGUGAUUCCUGAUCCAGUUGCAACUGUAUUGCCGCGCAGUUACAAUCGACAUCUUCACUGUGGAUAAAGAUUCGUUUGUGAAAAAGAGCUCAAAGGCCAGUUCUGAAUUAAAUCCAGCACUGUUGGGCCCGUGAGGAUUUCUACGCUAGCUAGCGGAAACUUGUCUUGAAGUAGCAAGAAGCUGAGUUACAGGUGGUUUUGGGGCUGAUUUCCCAGGUUAAGUGUUUCCAGCUGAUUGUCCUUUGCAGUGCAUAUGUCUGCUGGAAGUCCAAUAUUAUAUAAGCAGGGGCAUUUACAGCCAUCACACUGCAUCUUGGCCAUGCAGGGUGUUGCUUUCUGAAACAAGUGUUUCCUGCCAAGAGGGUUUGUUUUCCUCUGUGAUAAGAAACAAUGAUUACCUUGAUUUGUACUUGAGCAUUUUGCAGCAGAGCUGGGAUCUGACGCUGUGCUAAAUCCAUUGUUUUGGCUAACCAAAUGCCAGCCGGGCCCUCUUGGAAACACGCUGCCAGGACUCAGGCCAAGCACGGGCUGUUGGGGUUUGUUUCCAGAAGUGUCUGCUAGGUUUGUUUUAAAAAUACCUCUUUGCAUUUGGAGAGAGACGCUGCAUUAAAAUCAAGUGGAAGGGAAGGCGGAGAGGGAGGGAUGCAGGCAGGAGGAGCUGAGAGGGUGCCGUUUUGCAGCCUUGGAAGAUUUCAAGAUCUUCUCAGAACGGCAGAUGGCACAGAGACAGGCCCAGCUGGAAUCUAGUCAGGUCCAUAACACUGCAGCCACUUGCUGAAAGCCCCCACAGCACCACAGAUACAAAACAACAUUUAUUUUAAGUCUUGAGAAGCAUCUGCUCUCGUCAAAUGUAUGCCCAGUGGGUGAAGACUUGGUUUGGAAGUAGCCACAUUGCCAGUCCCAAGAAUUAAAAAAAAAAAAAAAAAAAAUCAUGAGUUUGGUCUUCUGAAAUCAUGAGACAGACCUAAAAGUCAGGAGGUGUCUUUUAAAAUUCACAAUUCUUGAAUUCUUUUCAUUUUUCUUCCAGUUUGGGGCCUGGAAGACUUAGGUUUUCAGUCUUUCUUUUUUUGCCCUCCACAAUUGAGAGGCUAGAAAUGAAGACCAUGUUUCUGGAGUAAUUUCAUGCAGUUUUGGAAGUUUUCAUGGCACCAGAAUGUGGGGCGGUAAGGGGAACGGCCAGUAUCAAGAGAGCUGGGCCAUUUCAUGGGUGAUGGUCUUCCCUGGGUUACCUGCCUAAUGUUCCUGAAGCAACUGCUGCAAACUAGAAGUUAGUUUCCCAGGCAGCUCUCUCUCCAUCUUGGCUUGUAGAAAGCUCUUCUCAUGAGCACUGAUCAUCAGAUAAAGUGCUGCAACCACAUGGCUUUGUGCCAUGUAUAUAACGUUCUGGAUUGGCUCUUAAAAAUGAGUUUGCUCGUCUGUUUUUUCAGUUGUUUAUUUGUCCUGUAUUUCCUGGAACUGUUUGCAGGCUCCCUUCCCUUCUAGCCCCCAAGCUGGGGGGCUGAUGGACAUAUUUAGGAUGAGGCAACAAGACCAGCCUGGAGACAGAAAGCCCAGGGCAGCCCUUAGAGAGGAGCCAGGGGACUAGAGCAAGCUACAGGUGCUCAGAAGCUAAGGGUGGGCUUUAUCUUGUGGAACCAGUGGGUGGGGUGUGAAGGAUUUUCUGAUUGACUCAGUGAUGUUAAUUUUAAAACUUACUGGUGUUUUUAUGUGAUAGUUUGGUGAAACCUGUGCAGCAUCAAGACUAAAAGCCUGAAGGAAAUCCCCACCUUGCAGGGUGGAAGGCUUUGUCAUUUGCUAAUGAGCCACACCACAGGGAGAGGCUGUGUGCUUCAGCCCCUGCUGGCUGGGAGCUACAUUCAUGCUAAAUGCCAGCAAACUUCUUGUUGGAGGGCCUGAGAAACCGCUUUCUGAUGGACUUCUCCUUCUGUUCCACCUCUAUCAAUAAUGCCCAGUGAAUGCUGAGAUCUCUCUCAUUGCUAGGUAUAAAUUCUCAAGCCAGAUACUCCAGACAGGCAUUUCCAGGCGAUUAUUGCUCUACUUGUGCAGUUGAAAUCACUUAGUCUUUGGCCUUGUGCCUCACAGCGCCAGCAGAGGCAUGCCGUAAUUGCCCGUAAAUGCACUGUCUGUCAUAUUAUUGUUUAAUUAUUCCACUUUCUCACUCCCCCUCAUAGCAUGCACGCUCACUCUUUCUCUUGCUCUCUCAAUAUCUUUAAUUGGGUGGAAAAAGUCUGUGGCUUGUGCUGUACUUUUGGCGUGAAAUGAAGUGGUGCAUCAGUGGAUCUUGUACCAGAGUUGCAACGUUCAUAGACCCAAGCCAGUUGGCUGAGUUGGUGGAUGGGAGGCAUUUGGCUAACAGUAGAUACCAGAACCAAAUGAGUGGAAGAGCUUUAUUCACCUUCAUCCUUGCUGUUGGAGAGGAAUUAAAAGUUACAGAGUUGACCUGUGAGACACAGGUGACCUGUCACUUGUGUGUGGGAUAUCACGUUGGCAGUAUUGAAGUGAAAGCAGUUGCAGUCAUCCUGAUUCCUUAUGCAGCAUUCCCACCAAACAGGUCAGCAUGUACAACGGCACCUGGGAUGCUGCUUCCACGUGGAGACCAACCGUCAAUGAACGUGACUUACUGUAGAACUGAGUGCAGGAGUUACAGUUCAGCAUGCCUGUGUCUUGUUUUUCUGGAAAACACAAGAUCGAUAAAUAGAUUUGUAUAGCCAAAGGGGACCAUUUUGAUCUGUUAAUUUGACUUUUGGCAUAACACAGGCCCUGCAAUCUCCCCCAGUAAUGCAUUGAUCAAUGCAUUCAUCAAGCUUAUAACUUUUGUCUCUGAUAGAAAGACAUCCUGUCCAAACUGGUGCCAUUGUUUUUCACAUUCCCCAUAGGUUCCUUUGUCUUUCAACAAAAUCACGAAUGCGUCUUAGAUUAGAAAACUCUGCUCUGAGUUUGGAGGAGGAUCGUUGUUCUCUUUGCUAAUGAAGUGUCCAGGGAGUGCAUUCUGCACUGAAGGGAGAAUGAGAUGCCCAUCUCUACUAAGAGCAUCUUGUACAUCAGUGCAGUCUGAUUUGCUUGUAUUAACCCUCCUUCUGCAGCUACCUCUGGAGCUGAUAGCAACUGCAAGGAAUUCAUAGCAAAAAAAUAUGCAACCUGGGGAUGUUCCUAUUAGACGUUUCAAUCAUUGGUGUUCUUCUUGGCAAGGGGGGCUCUCAGAAUAGAGACGCUCUGUAAACACAAACUGUAAUAAAUUUCUUAAAGUGUAAUAAAAUUCCAGAAAGAUUUGAGGAACCGGGUGACUCAGGACCAGUGGAGCUCCAGCAUUCUUAUGCUACCUUUGUCCCUCUUCUACUCUGAAAUUUUGGGGUAUGUCUCAUUUCAAAGAUACCCCUGAAUACCUCCCUGUGCAGCAGCUCACACAGGUCCCCAUGCAAAUUCAAAUUCUCCCUGCUCAUUCAGUGCAGCAGAUCACAUGCUUUUCCUGUGCCAGGUGAGACAUCAUUAAUCAUCCUGCAUGUAGUUAGAAAGGCUCUUUUCUGUGCUGACAGCCUGAUUUUAAUAGGGACGAUCAACACCUGUUUAAGCUUAACUCAGUUUUCCCCUUAAUGCAGCCUUUCCCCCUUCAAAAUAGAGAAAACUCAAACCUUCUGUUUUGAAUGUUUCACUGUAGAGAAAAGUAGGAGUUUGUCCAGCUGUGAGACCAGCCUGUCCACGGUAUGCUUGGCAAAAAUGCAGUAUGUUGUUGGUUACCUGUAAUAAAUCUCUUGUGCAUUUA